rnacentral:rRNA from 1 species
GACGAACGCUGGCGGCGUGCUUAACACAUGCAAGUCGAACGGAAAGGCCCUGCUUUUGUGGGGUGCUCGAGUGGCGAACGGGUGAGUAACACGUGAGUAACCUGCCCUUGACUUUGGGAUAACUUCAGGAAACUGGGGCUAAUACCGGAUAGGAGCUCCUGCUGCAUGGUGGGGGUUGGAAAGUUUCGGCGGUUGGGGAUGGACUCGCGGCUUAUCAGCUUGUUGGUGGGGUGGUGGCUUACCAAGGCUUUGACGGGUAGCCGGCCUGAGAGGGUGACCGGCCACAUUGGGACUGAGAUACGGCCCAGACUCCUACGGGAGGCAGCAGUGGGGAAUAUUGCAUAAUGGGCGGAAGCCUGAUGCAGCAACGCCGCGUGCGGGAUGACGGCCUUCGGGUUGUAAACCGCUUUCGCCUGUGACGAAGCGUGAGUGACGGUAAUGGGUAAAGAAGCACCGGCUAACUACGUG